rnacentral:rRNA from 1 species
AGAGUUUGAUCCUGGCUCAGGACGAACGCUGGCGGCGUGCUUAACACAUGCAAGUCGAACGGUGAAGCAGGAGCUUGCUCCUGUGGAUCAGUGGCGAACGGGUGAGUAACACGUGAGCAAUCUGCCCUGGACUCUGGGAUAAGCGUUGGAAACGACGUCUAAUACCGGAUACGAGACGCGAAGGCAUCUUCAGCGUCUGGAAAGAACUUCGGUCCAGGAUGAGCUCGCGGCCUAUCAGGUAGUUGGUGAGGUAACGGCCCACCAAGCCUACGACGGGUAGCCGGCCUGAGAGGGUGACCGGCCACACUGGGACUGAGACACGGCCCAGACUCCUACGGGAGGCAGCAGUGGGGAAUAUUGCACAAUGGGCGCAAGCCUGAUGCAGCAACGCCGCGUGAGGGACGACGGCCUUCGGGUUGUAAACCUCUUUUAGCAGGGAAGAAGCGAAAGUGACGGUACCUGCAGAAAAAGCACCGGCUAACUACGUGCCAGCAGCCGCGGUAAUACGUAGGGUGCAAGCGUUAUCCGGAAUUAUUGGGCGUAAAGAGCUCGUAGGCGGUCUGUCGCGUCUGCUGUGAAAACCCGAGGCUCAACCUCGGGCCUGCAGUGGGUACGGGCAGACUAGAGUGCGGUAGGGGAGAUUGGAAUUCCUGGUGUAGCGGUGGAAUGCGCAGAUAUCAGGAGGAACACCGAUGGCGAAGGCAGAUCUCUGGGCCGUAACUGACGCUGAGGAGCGAAAGCGUGGGGAGCGAACAGGAUUAGAUACCCUGGUAGUCCAA